AACCUUAUGGACCUGCGGGCGUAUACCUGCGGAAGGAUCAUUAACCUUUCAAAUCAGGGUGCGGCGCGGCCCCCGAGGAGCGGAAACAAUCCUUGGGAGGUAUGCGGGGGCUUCGAGCCCCCCAUUCACGCACGCACGACUGCCAUCCUUACUUUACGAGCACCUUCUGUUCUCCCUCGGCGGGGCAACCUGCCGUUGGAACCGAAUAAACUCUUUUUGCAUCUAGCAUUACCUGUUCCG
rnacentral:misc_RNA from 1 species